rnacentral:lncRNA from 1 species
AUUGAAAACGAAAAAAGGGAGAGAAUGACAGUGUAACAGAGGAGUGUAAAAAAAGACGAGAUUCCUUGGCCUCGAGGAAGAAUAAAGAGGGAAAGGAAAGCUCUACUCCAAAUUUAAAAAAAAAAAAAAAGAAAGAGAGAUAAAGGGAGAGCUUGAAGAGCUCACAAAGAAGAAUGGUAUGAAGAGAAAAAACUUACUGAAAAAAGCACACACAGUACACUGUAUCAGUGUGUGAGAGAGAAAAGCUAGCAGAAAAUUUCCUUUUGAAAAUUCUGGGGGAAAAGGACUGGAACAGAGACUGGUUGUGGAAUUUGUCAGCAGCUGAGAAAUUUCUUGUGUGGAGGUUGGAAUAUUUCUUUUUCCGGUGAAUAGUCUUCUAGAGAAAAAAUAUGCUACAAAAAGAAAGAGAGUGGCUCAGCAGCCGUUAGAUGAGAGAAAUGAGAUGAGUGAGAGAGAUGGGGGAAGGAAGGAAGGAAGAAAGAAAACGCAACUGAACACCGAAACUAGUGCUCUUUACUAUUUUAUAGGAUGGUAUGGCCGG